CUGGUCUGGAGGUGGCUGGGUUCAUAGGGAUUCUGGAGGGCUGGGAAGGGGUUUUAGCCUUCUUGGUUCCAUUUCUGACACCCUCAGAGCAGGCAGCACCGGGAAGUUCUCUAGAGAAUAAAGGACCCUUUAUGUAGGCCUGUACCUCUCAUUCAUUCCUGCAGUGUCACUGAGGACUCCAUGGUGAGGCAGGGCUGUGUGUCUCACUGACUAGGGGCCCCACUGGGUGGGAAUCUCUAGCAGGGCAAGCCAGAAUCCUUUUUGCUUUCCACAUGUACGGUGUAUCACAUCUGUUGGGUCUCCAGGAUCCUGUCUCUACUCAGUUUCUCAGAUACCUUCAGGGCAUCCUCUCCUGACUUGAUGCAUGCCUAGCAUUGGGACCAUCUUUCUUAGUUUAACCGUCUCUUCUGUGAAACUGCCAGCUGACUUGGUCUCUGUACACUGGAGGCUUCCUGACUUCUCCUAAUUACAGAAGGUAGAUUAUGGGAUUCUUCCACCUCUAUGUUCUAUCUGGCACCAUGUGAAUUCUGGCUCUUCUUCAAAUGCAAAAUGAAAAUGAUAAGUAAACAUUUUGAAUCUGUUAAGAACAUGAAGGCAGCCAAGACAGCAGAACAAAAGACAUGAAAAAGAACUUCUAGAACUGCUUCAGAAAGUGACAAGAAUCAUAGAAUAAGUGUGCUUGAAGUGAAGGUGAGUAUUUUGAAGAAAAAUAAUGACAAUGUAUCUUUUACUCUAAUACAUUUUCAACCACACCUUGUAUAUAUACCGUAUACAACCAUAUGACAAGUUACAUACAGAAGCAGAGAUGGUACAUUUUAGUCCUUAUUUCCACUUUCAGU